rnacentral:tRNA from 1 species
UGGUGGGUAGCUCAAUCUGAUAGAGCAAUGAACAUCCUUAAUUUCACAAACUUGUCUGAAAAGGCCGAAGAAUCGAGGGUUAUUGUUAAUUCAUGGGUUGUAGGUUCAAAUCCUAUCCCACCAU